UCCGGCUUGUCACCGGCAGUUUCUUCAGAGUGCCCGGCUCUACCCGGUGGCAACUGAAGAUGAGGGUUGCGCUCGUUGCGGGACUUAACCCAACAUCUCACGACACGAGCUGACGACAGCCAUGCAGCUCCCCUUUCGAGGUCAUUGCCGUUUCCGGUUCUUACAACUGGCAUGUCAAGCCUGGGUAAGGUUCUUCGCGUUGCGUCGAAUUAAACCACAUGCACCACCGCUUGUGCGGGCCCCCGUCAAUUCCUUUGAGUUUCAACCUUGCGGUCGUACUCCCCAGGCGGGGUACUUCCUGCGUUAACGCCGGCACCCAGAGGGUCGCUCCCCCAGGCACCUAGUACCCAUCGUUUACGGCGUGGACUAC
rnacentral:misc_RNA from 1 species